UGACACUCAAUUCAAUUGGACGAAGAGAAGCUGCAACACACCUACUGAUAUUCUCGCAAAGAAUAAUCUUCCUCGGAAUUCUACUUUUCUAUAUCAUUUUCAGAUUCCUUAUGUAAUCAUACCCUUGUUAAAAAACGUGGCCGAUUUCGAGGCAAGGGAUCGCCAAAAUUAUGAUAAAAUUGGCUCAAAAAUCGGAAAUCUUGAAAAAACUUGAUUUUGUUUGUUCUUUUGAAGGUUAAAAUUCAUAAAUACUUGAUGGAUGUAGCAUAUCUAGCAAUAAACAAUAGAAGACAACAAAAAGAAAUGAUGAAAAGUGAACACCAUUUGACUCCGCCUUCUCCACCGGAGUUCGACUCCACUAAGUCGCGUUACCCCGCGUAGUAGGGAUUGGCUAUGGAUCGGGCCUUGUCGAUCCAAAGAUGUCAAAAAAAAAAAAAAA
rnacentral:lncRNA from 1 species